ACGCUGGCUGCCGUGCCUAACAGAUGCAAGCUCGAACUAGAAAGUGGAGCAAUCCAUAAGUACAGUGGCCCCCGGGUGAGUAACACGUGACCUACCUGCCCUCGAGUGGGGAAUAACUCCCGGAAACCAGAGCUAAUACCUCAUAACAUCUGCCGAAUGCGAAUUCUGGGGAUCAAAGGAUCAAUUCUCUUGAAGAGGGGGUCGCGGCUGAUUAGCUAGUUGGUAGGGUAACGGCCUACCAAUGCUGAGAUCGGUAUCCUGCCUGAUAUGGCGCACGGACACACUGGAACUGAAACACCGUCCAUACUCCUACGAGGAGGCAGCAGUGGG
rnacentral:rRNA from 1 species